GGGAGGGCAGAAGUUGGGAAGGCGGCUCCCCCCUCCCCACCCCUCCCGAGCCGGGACCCGGUGGAAACGCUCCCACUCUGCGCCUCCUUCCAGCGCUCCCCAGGCCUUUAUACGGCCGCCCCGGCAUCACGUGCCGCCGCCGCAGGCCCCUCGGGGCACGGCGAGGGGCUGCCUGGCCCGGCCCGGGUCCCCGGGAGUGCGGGCCCCCGCCUCCGGCGGUGAUGCUUUCGAGGAAAGGCGCUGCCCGCUCCCCCGGCGCUUAGAUGCCCCCGGCUACGCCUGGAGCCGGCUGGUGCGAGAGCGGGGGGUCGGCUCUGGAUAAAGCCCACUUCCACGCCCCCCCGCCCCAAGCACCCCGCGGUGCCGGAGGCUCGCAGGGCUCGUUCCUAUCGGAUGCAACGGCCCCCUCCCUCCGCCCGGGGGCCACGGAGGGUCCCCUGUCCCCACGCGGGCUGCCCGCCCACGGGGCUGAGGGCUGAGCUGCCGCCCUCCGGCAGCCUGGCUGGCGGGGACCCUAGCUCCACCAGGGCCGAGCCCCCCGGGACCUCCGGGGGGAGGGGGAGUGAAUUUGGGAUCCCUGCUCCCCUUCUGCACACGCUCACGUCACCGACACGUCACCGAGGCCGGAGUACCCCGCCUGGAAACCCGACUUCCCCGAGGGCUCCCACGGGCCGGCACCCGCGGAGGGGAUGCUGCCGCCCAGCAGGUGCGGGGCGGAAGGCGGGGAGCAACGCUCAGUCAAGCUCCCCCCCCUCCCCCCCGCAAGAAAGAACCAAAGGGAAGACGGUGCGUGUCCGCGGGGUGCUGGGACGGCUCCCGCAUCCCGGCCCGGCGGGUACCACUUUCCGAGGUGGUCCGCCCGUAGCCCGGCCAGGCCGCAGGACCCCUCCGGGACACGGGGAAUCUCCUCCGGCCUGGGGACGGCCCGCCCGCCGCGCCCCCGCCAGCGCUGCCUCGAGGCGCAGCAUCCCCCGACGGCUGGCAGGGAGGGGGUGGGGGGCAGCGGACACCCACCUUGCCGCGGGCUACAGCCGCAGCAGGAGGAUUUCCCUGUAACCAGAGGCACCCUAGGCCCCCGCGGAGCCACAACGGUGUCCCCACGGGUGGCAGAGCCCCGCUCGCCCGCCUGCGGCCGCGCUUCCCCAGGGCAAGGCCGGGGCGGCCACCCCGGUGGAGGGCGGGGGACACGGACACGGGUGCAGCCGCCCACCCCGCGCCCCGUGGGUGGCUGUAGCAGCCCGGUGUCCCUGUCUCUGCCGCGGACACACCGAGCCACGCUCGCACGUUUUUUCGGUUGGGGUGGGCUUUUUUGUUUGUUGGUUGGUUUUUGGGUUUUGGUUUGGUUUUUUUUUCUUCCCUUAGAAGCUCUGCAAACCCGCAGCCUCUUUCCCGGGGGAAGGAUGCCCGGGGAGGAAGGAAGGGGAUGAUUUACUCCAAGGGGGUGCCAGGGGGAGAUCUCCCCCUCCUCCAGGGCCGCGUUCAGCAGUGUGAGAAUCCGCGGUGAUGAAUUGCCAGUCGCUGCCGUUAACAGACUCGCCGGGCUCGGGGGGACCCCGAGGAGCGGGCAGGAGCGGCCGGCGCUUCGCCCGCACAUCUCCGGGUGAAGCGGCUGCUGCAGAGCCGGAGCCUCUGCGCGGACUCGGUCGCAUCUUCCUCCCUCGCCGCCAACGCUGCGAUCGGGGAGGAAGAUGCGACCGGAGGGAAAAAUAGAUGAAUAACUGUGCUGAGAAUUGCUCAGGAAGGUGACUUCCAGCCUGUCCCGCAGGCAUGCGUCAGGGCUGGGAGAGCUUUCCUGACCUCUUUCACUUUUAUAUUCCUCCGAUGCUGAUAACCUUGCGUUUGAGACACAUACGCAUACAUCUCCCUCUCGUAUGUAUGGGGGUGUGUGUAUAUAUAUAUUCAGCUAUAGAUAUAUUCAUAUUUUUUCUUAUUUUUCUUUUAUAAUAUAAUUAGCUAACACGGAGAAAUGCUUCCGAGACGCCGCAUCUUUCCUACCGACUUGGUUUAAACUCUCCGUUCAUCAGCCCCGCGGAAAGGCGACGGGAAGGACAAAUGGAAGAGAGCGGAGAGGGAAAAGACCCGAGCCGCUUUCCAUUUUUAUUAAGUAAAAUAAUAGUUAUGCCUCCCCUACAUAAACGAAAGUGUCAUAAAAAAUUCCGAAGCAGCUGCCAGAGAUUUCGACCACACACACAACGGGGCGAUUGAAUUUCCACUUGGUGCAUUUCAUGGCAGCGAGGAACCGCCGGGAGCUGCGCCUUGUGCCUGUGCAGGGCGGCGAGGGGAGGGCGGGCGGGGGGGGGACCCGGGCAAACGGCGCGCUGCGAGCGGCCGAGGGCAGCGGGCACCGCCCGGGGGAUGCCCCGCCGCCCCCCGCGCCCCCGGCCGCCCUGCCUGCGGGCUGCUCCCGCACGGCUCGAAGUGAAACAGAUGUGGGUGUCCGCUGCCCGGCCCCCCCCGCCCUGCCCCGGCUGCCGCCUCUGCCCCUGCCUGCCGGGGCGGGCAGCGCCGGGCAGCCCGCGGGGGGAACCCCCGGCCACGGCGGGCUCGGGUGGAGCCGUUUAUCGCUGGAUUCAUGGGCAUCGGGCCCCCGAUGGGCCCGAAAUUGGAGGGGGGGCAGGCGAGGAGGGUCGAUCCGAGGCGGCUGUCGGUGGGCUGCGGCCGGAGCCCUGUCCCGCUCCCGCCUGGACCUCCCCCCUCGGCACCGUGCACCCGGAGCCGCCGGAGCUCGAGAACCAGCGUGUCCCCGUCAGCCACCACCGGCACCAUUCCUGCCUGUUUCAAGGCAAAAUAUCGUCCCCAUUAAAGCAGGGAACGACCCAAAAAGAGACGACCAUGAAUGAGACCCGGUCCCUCCGUCUGCGAGCGGCUCCCGUUCGCCGAGCCGGUAUUAGCUUCAGCUUUGCCACGCAAGACCGGCUGCAGAAACAAAUCAAAACGAGAAAAAGUACCCAAACUACACCCGUCCCGAAAAGAUUUAGAAAAGGGAAACCCGGGAGUGAAGCAAACCAGAUGGUCGGAGCCCAGACACGUACAUAGGCGCACACACGCUCCCGGCCGUGCAUCCACACGCGGAGCCAGGGCAUCUAAAUUCGUUUAUUCUGAUGAGAGCCGCAUCUACAAGUCCCCCAAGGCUCAGUGAUGGAUUUUUCUGUAUUACCUCGUUAUCAAGCUUGGCUGACCUCUAACUUCUCUGAAAACAUGAACAAGACAGACCUGCUGCUGCCUGGGCUGCCCCAGGGGGCUCUUUUUCCACUUAUGUGAUUUCCUUUGAUAUUAUUUCUCUUCUUUCCAUAUCCAAGGCUCAGACCUUCAGUGCUCCCUGCAGUUCAACCUUUUUUCCAGCCCUGUACUGCCAGCUCCCAGCUUGCAAAGAUCAGUUUGCAGCCUGCACAUCAAGAACUCCCAGCUCAGGGAGGUUAAGUGGGAAUGGUGGUGCCGGAUAGUGCGAGAUGCGUGGAAUUCCCAGUUUGGAAACCACGGGAGCCAAGUGCCUAUACCCAUCCCUGCAGCGCUCAGAUGUCGGACGCCUUGGGUUUGCGGACUUGGAUUUUCAAAUGCAGGUGUCCCAAAAUCCACACCAAAAAAGGCCUGGAUUUCAAGGGAGGGCUUUCCCAGGCACCCCUCGUGCAGGACUGAACACCCAUGAAUCUCUGAAGAGCAAGUCUCUCCGUCUUUCCUGCUCUUCCUUUCCUUUCCAUAUGCACACAUUUAUUUAGGUGCUGUGUCACGACUUUAGGACCUUGGCUUUGGACUUGCAGUUCAAAAACUUUGUCUGCUGCUCUCUAUUCAUAACUGAUCCCAUCCCACAUAGAUUUGAAGCCCACCAGGCAAGCUCAUACACAGCAUAACAGCCAACCAAUAAACUCUGGCUUGGUAUAAGCUUUUUUUAUGUACUGUUCUUCAGCAACCUGACAUGAAAAGAGAUGGGUACUCUCACACACUUACAUGACUCAGAGGAUCGAAGUGAUUUCAAGCCAUAAACCACCAGGUGCACUUUUGAGACUCACCAAAGCCAGCCCUCCUGGUUGCCAUAAAAAACACAUUAGCCAAAGGCUGAUGCAUGUGGAAGGCAAUUAUGCACUGGCCCAUGGCAAUAUGCAUAGAACAGCCUGGUAACUGUGCCUACUAUGCAAGGAAAAAUAUGCUGUGAAAACAAGACUGCUAAAUCACUUCAUUCUUCCCUGAAUCCCCUGAAAAUAAGA